CCCUUAGAUGUUCUGGGCCGCACGCGCGCUACACUGAUGCAUUCAACGAGCCUAUCCUUGACCGACAGGUCCGGGUAAUCUUUGAAUCUGCAUCGUGACGGGGAUAGAUUAUUGCAAUUAUUAAUCUUCAACGAGGAAUGCCUAGUAGGCGCAAGUCAUCAGCUUGCGUCGAUUACGUCCCUGCCCUUUGUACACACCGCCCGUCGCUCCUACCGAUUGGGUGUGCUGGUGAAAUGUUCGGAUCGGCCGUUUGUCGCGGUUUCCGCGUCAUGUGGCUGAGAAGUUCAUUAAAGCCGCCCACCGAGAGGAAGGAGAAGUCGUAACA
rnacentral:rRNA from 1 species